CAGUAGCCGCGGUAAUACGUAGGUGGCAAGCGUUAUCCGGAAUUAUUGGGCGUAAAGCGCGCGUAGGCGGUUUUUUAAGUCUGAUGUGAAAGCCCACGGCUCAACCGUGGAGGGUCAUUGGAAACUGGAAAACUUGAGUGCAGAAGAGGAAAGUGGAAUUCCAUGUGUAGCGGUGAAAUGCGCAGAGAUAUGGAGGAACACCAGUGGCGAAGGCGACUUUCUGGUCUGUAACUGACGCUGAUGUGCGAAAGCGUGGGGAUCAAACAGGAUUAGAUACCCGGGUAGUCCCUGUCUCUUAUAA
rnacentral:rRNA from 1 species